GAGGGGCAGCAUGAUCGAAGCUUGCUUCGAUUGAUGGCGACCGGCGCGCGGGUGCGUAACGCGUAUCAAACCUACCCAAAGCUCAGGGAUAGGCUUGCGAAAGUAAGAUUAAUACCUGAUAUUGUCAGUUAUCGGCAUCGAUGAUUGAUGAAAGAUUUAUCGGCGUUGGAUGGUGAUGCGUAUGAUUAGUUAGUUGGUGAGGUAACGGCUCACCAAGACGACGAUCAUUAGGGGUUCUGAGAGGAAGGUCCCCCACAUUGGAACUGAGACACGGUCCAAACUCCUACGGGAGGCAGCAGUGAGGAAUAUUGGUCAAUGGGCGAGAGCCUGAACCAGCCAAGUAGCGUGCACGAAGACUGCCCUCUGGGUUGUAAAGUGCUUUAGUAUGGGAAUAAGGUGAGGGACGUGUCCCUUUUUGUAUGUACCAUAAGAAUAAGGACCGGCUAAUUCCGUGCCAGCAGCCGCGGUAAUACGGAAGGUCCAGGCGUUAUCCGGAUUUAUUGGGUUUAAAGGGAGCGUAGGCGGAUUAUCAAGUCAGUGGUAAAAUCGUGUGGCCCAACCAUACCUCGCCAUUGAAACUGUUAGUCUUGAGUGCACGCAGGGAUGCUGGGAUUCGUUGUGUAGCGGUGAAAUGCUUAGAUAUGACGAAGAACUCCGAUCGCGAAGGCAGGUGUCUGGAGUGCAACUGACGCUGAGGCUCGAAAGUGCGGGUAUCAAACAGGAUUAGAUACCCUGGUAGUCCGCACAGUAAACGAUGAAUGCUCGCUGUGGGCGAUACACUGUCCGUGGCCACGCGAAAGCAUUAAGCAUUCCACCUGGGGAGUACGCCGGCAACGGUGAAACUCAAAGGAAUUGACGGGGGCCCGCACAAGCGGAGGAACAUGUGGUUUAAUUCGAUGAUACGCGAGGAACCUUACCCGGGCUUGAACUGGACAGGAAGAUGAGCAGAGACGCUCAUCGCCUUCGGGCUUGUUCAGAGGUGCUGCAUGGUUGUCGUCAGCUCGUGCCGUGAGGUGUCGGCUUAAGUGCCAUAACGAGCGCAACCCUUUUCCCUGUUUGCCAUCAGGUUGAGCUGGGCACUCCAGGGAUACUGCCAUCGCAAGAUGUGAGGAAGGUGGGGAUGACGUCAAAUCAGCACGGCCCUUACGUCCGGGGCUACACACGUGUUACAAUGGCCGGUACAGAAGGCAGCUACCUAGCAAUAGGAUGCGAAUCUAUAAAUCCGGUCUCAGUUCGGAUCGGAGUCUGCAACCCGACUCCGUGAAGCUGGAUUCGCUAGUAAUCGCGCAUCAGCCAUGGCGCGGUGAAUACGUUCCCGGGCC
rnacentral:rRNA from 1 species